AUGGACAACCUCUCGCCUUUGCCCCCCUGGGUUGGGGGAUCCCAGUUCUGGCAGUCAAUUAUCCAAUUGAUGCUUGUCCUCCGGAUUGGCACCUCGAUUGAGGUGGGCUCUGGUUCUAAUACCAUGUUCUGGCUGGACAGAUGGUCCGAAACUAGAACAUUCGCGGAAAGAUUCCAUGCCUUAUUCUUGAUAUGCUCCCACCCACGUUUGUCAGUGGGAGUCGCCCUUCUUGACAUAGGUGCCAUCACCUUUCGUUGAACCUUUGGGGCACUUGAACGAGAGCAAUGGGAGGAGCUUUUGGAGUGCGUAGCUCUACACACUCCCUUGCUCGAAUUGGACUCUACUGCGUGGCACCUUGAGCUGAGUGGGAACUUCUCCACUAAGUCUUUAUACCGCGCGAUCUUGCCGACCCCAGGACCCAAUGAGCUUACGGUGAUAUGGGAGACCAAGAUACCACUUAAGAUACGUAUCUUCAUGUGGCAAUGGGUGCGUGGCCGCCUGCCCUCGAGCAUGGAGGUCCAGAAGCGUAAUGGCCCGAGUGAUGGCCUUUGUCCCUUAUGUGAAGCACCGGAAGACUCCAACCAUAUCUUCUUCCGGUGCCCGGCGGCACGAUUCCUAUGGAUCUGCUUCUGGGAAGUUGUGGGUGGGACAUGGUGUCAUGAUAAUCUCCCAGACUUGUUCGGGGAGAUCCUCGAUUCCUCCCUAUUAGUAGGCCUUCCCUUUGGGUGGCAAUGA
rnacentral:rRNA from 1 species